GUGCGAGCGUAAGCUGCACAUUUUCAAAAUUGGAACGAUACAGAGAAGAUUAGCGAGCCCCUGCCCAAGGAUGACACGCACAAUCGUGAAGCGUUCCGAAUUUUU